UCUCCGUAGGUGAACCUGCGGAGGGAUCAUUACAGAGUUCAUGCCCUACCGGGUAGAUCUCCCACCCUAUGUUAUUAUUACUUUGUUGCUUUGGCGGGCCGUUAGGCUCCGGCCCGAAUACCGGCCCCGGCUUGUAAGAGCCCGCCAGAUGACCCAAAAGCCUGAAUAUUAGUGUCGUCUGAGUACUAUAUAAUAGUUAAAACUUUCAACAACGGAUCUCUUGGUUCUG
rnacentral:misc_RNA from 1 species